rnacentral:rRNA from 1 species
UAACCUGCUAAAUAGUUGCAUCCACUUUGGUGGGUGUUCAACUUCUUAGAGGGACUAUGUGCGUUUAGCACAUGGAAGUUUGAGGCAAUAACAGGUCUGUGAUGCCCUUAGAUGUUCUGGGCCGCACGCGCGCUACACUGACGAAGGCAGCAAGUAUUUUCCUUGGCCGGAAGGCUCGGGUAAUCUUCUGAAACUUUGUCGUGCUGGGGAUAGUCCCUUGCAAUUAUUGGACUUAAACGAGGAAUUCCUAGUAAGCGCGAGUCAUCAGCUCGCGUUGAUUACGUCCCUGCCCUUUGUACACACCGCCCGUCGCU